rnacentral:rRNA from 1 species
ACGGGUGAGUAACACGUAGGCAACCUGCCNUCAAGUUUGGGACAACUACCGGAAACGGUAGCUAAUACCGAAUAGUUGUUUUCUUCUCCUGAAGGAAACUGGAAAGACGGAGCAAUCUGUCACUUGGGGAUGGGCCUGCGGCGCAUUAGCUAGUUGGUGGGGUAACGGCUCACCAAGGCGACGAUGCGUAGCCGACCUGAGAGGGUGAUCGGCCACACUGGGACUGAGACACGGCCCAGACUCCUACGGGAGGCAGCAGUAGGGAAUCUUCCGCAAUGGGCGAAAGCCUGACGGAGCAAUGCCGCGUGAGUGAUGAAGGUUUUCGGAUCGUAAAGCUCUGUUGCCAGGGAAGAACGCUUGGGAGAGUAACUGCUCUCAAGGUGACGGUACCUGAGAAGAAAGCCCCGGCUAACUACGUGCCAGCAGCCGCGGUAAUACGUAGGGGGCAAGCGUUGUCCGGAAUUAUUGGGCGUAAAGCGCGCGCAGGCGGUCAUUUAAGUCUGGUGUUUAAUCCCGGGGCUCAACCCCGGAUCGCACUGGAAACUGGGUGACUUGAGUGCAGAAGAGGAGAGUGGAAUUCCACGUGUAGCGGUGAAAUGCGUAGAUAUGUGGAGGAACACCAGUGGCGAAGGCGACU